CCUCCCGCACAACGCCCCACUCCCUCCCCCGAUCCAAAUGCCCCACCUCCCGUCCACCUUCUGCCGCGCCACCACCGCCCCGCUCCCAUCCACCUUCUGCCGCGCCGUUGCCGCCUCGCCGCCUCGCCCCGACCUCCGUCCACCUUCUGGACCACGCCGCCCCUGGAUCCUACCAACGCCGCCGGCAUCUCUGCUCCACUCCGGCACCCAGCGCCCUGUCCGCCGCGCCCGGGAGUGGAUCCGGUCACCUCCGACUUUGGCGCUCCUCCGGCGACCACGGUGCUCUCUCAACGCACUGCCUUCCUUACCGUGAGCCGCCCCUUCUAGCUCCUGGAUGCCCGGCCAUGGCUCCUCUCUUCGCCAAGCUCUCACUGUUUCCUUCCUUGCCGGCCCCGGACCACCACGAAGCCCUCUCGGCCGGAUCCAUCGGCUGCCGAAUCCAGCGCCGGCGAGUGGAUGGGCUGCCUCCCCCGCACCACCCUAGUCGGAUCCGGCUGGCUGCCCCCACCCCCCCUGCCCACUUCCCCUUCGCCUCCCUCUCGAGCAAACCACCUCCGCGGAUCCAUGGGCCGCCGAAUCCCGCGCCUACUGGCUGCCACGGCCCCCACACCGCCAGAUCCCAUCGAGCAGCCAACCUGUGCGGUGGCGGGCGAGGCAGCCACAGGAGGUUGAUGUGGCGCCCGUUGGCGAGCAGGACGUCGCCCUACUCCGUCCGCUAGAGGGGAGCAGUGCAGUUCGGUUUUGGUUGCAGUCCCACGGGCAUACAGGUGCAGUACUAUGCGGAUUGGACAUGCAGUGCGCCAGCAGAAAAAAAUUGUGGAUGUCCCCUAUCAUUAUAAUUUUUAUGUGUUUGUUAGUGCAGCUCACUUGUUUCGUUGCUGCAGUGAUCUUCUCUCUCACAGCAGUUCCCUCUAUUGCCAAGUGUAAAAAAAAUUGGAAGACUAUAAUUGGAAAAGGUUGAAUCUUCUAUGCAGCUCACUUUGUGGUUGUGUGGAAGAAAAAUUGAUGCAGUCCACUCGCCUCGUCCCUGCGGUUUUGUUUUGUUUUGUUUUGCAGCAGCUCACUUUUUGUUUUGCAGCUCACUCUUUUUUUGUUUUGUAGCUCACUCUUUUUUUCUUUAGGAAAUCGUUUGUAGUGCACUCGGUAAGAUAGAGAAGAGAACAUCGAUGUUCAUUUUGAAGUCUGAUUUGUUGUUUAUGGGAAACACAGAGAGAAAAGGGUAGUAAGAAUGGACGGUCACUUUUUAUAAGCAAGUCUUUCCCUAGUGCAGUUCUGUUGGGUACUAUAACUUUGAUUCUGCUGUGUACUCGACGGCUGUGUGGCUGUGUAAAGAAUAAUGAAUGAAUAUGUAUGCUUUUAAGCUCA